rnacentral:rRNA from 1 species
CUGGGGCUUCCCGCCGAGUCGUGGGAAUGACUUCGGCGGAUCGCUAGUUAGCAUAGUUUAGGGUUAGAACUAGGGCGGUAUCUGAUCGCCUUCGAUCCUCUAACUUUCGUUCUUGAUUAAUGAAAACAUUCUCGGCAAAUGCUUUCGCAGUAGUUAGUCUUGCGACGGUCCAAGAAUUUCACCUCUAGCGUCGCAAUACUAAUGCCACCGUCUGUCCCUUUUAAUCAUUACCUCGGUUCAUUAAAACCGACAAAAAGAACAGAAUCGAGGUCCUGUUACUUCAUUCCAUGCACAGACAUUCCGGCCGUUUUUACAGCCCGCUUUAAGCACUCUAAUUUUUUCAAAGUGAACGUGUCGGCCACCCUGGAACACUCGGUAAAGAGCACUCCGAGCGAGCCGACAAAAUUUUAAUUGUACCAAACGCGGGCGAGCUAUACCCGAAGACCGAGAAACACCGUCCGCUAGAAAGUUUACCGCGAAACGACGACGGCUCCCCUAUAGAAAGCCGAAGCCAACUUAGUAGAAGUACUCGCCGCCGAAACUCGACAUUAUCUAGUGACUGACGCGAAUCGCUAGUACAACAAGCGACUCACCCACGAAAUGGAUCUAGAAAGUCCAACUACGAGCUUUUUAACCGCAGCAACUUUAAUAUACGCUAUUGGAGCUGGAAUUACCGCGGCUGCUGGCACCAGACUUGCCCUCCAAUGGAUCCUCGUCCAAAGAUUUAGGAUGGACUCAUUCCGAUUGCGAGGCCUCGGAAGAGUCUCGCAUCGUUAUUUUUCGUCACUACCUCCCCGGGCUGGGAGUGGGUAAUUUGCGUGCCUGCUGCCUUCCUUAGAUGUGGUAGCCGUUUCUCAGGCUCCCUCUCCGGAAUCGAACCCUGAUUCCCCGUUAC